rnacentral:rRNA from 1 species
UACGUAGGGGGCAAGCGUUGUCCGGAAUCAUUGGGCGUAAAGCGCGUGUAGGCGGCUCGGUAAGUCUGCUGUGAAAGUCCAGGGCUCAACCCUGGGAUGCCGGUGGAUACUGUCGGGCUAGAGUGCGGGAGAGGCGAGUGGAAUUCCUGGUGUAGCGGUGAAAUGCGCAGAUAUCAGGAGGAACACCAAUUGCGAAGGCAGCUCGCUGGAACGUAACUGACGCUGAGACGCGAAAGCGUGGGGAGCAAACAGG